GGAAUAUUGGACAAUGGGCGAAAGCCUGAUCCAGCCAUGCCGCGUGUGUGAAGAAGGUCUUCGGAUUGUAAAGCACUUUAAGUUGGGAGGAAGGGUAGUAACUUAAUACGUUGCUAUUUUGACGUUACCGACAGAAUAAGCACCGGCUAACUCUGUG
rnacentral:rRNA from 1 species